rnacentral:rRNA from 1 species
UGCAGUCGAACGAGUUCUCGUUGAUGAUCGGUGCUUGCACCGAGAUUCAACAUGGAACGAGUGGCGGACGGGUGAGUAACACGUGGGUAACCUGCCCUUAAGUGGGGGAUAACAUUUGGAAACAGAUGCUAAUACCGCAUAGAUCCAAGAACCGCAUGGUUCUUGGCUGAAAGAUGGCGUAAGCUAUCGCUUUUGGAUGGACCCGCGGCGUAUUAGCUAGUUGGUGAGGUAAUGGCUCACCAAGGCGAUGAUACGUAGCCGAACUGAGAGGUUGAUCGGCCACAUUGGGACUGAGACACGGCCCAAACUCCUACGGGAGGCAGCAGUAGGGAAUCUUCCACAAUGGACGCAAGUCUGAUGGAGCAACGCCGCGUGAGUGAAGAAGGCUUUCGGGUCGUAAAACUCUGUUGUUGGAGAAGAAUGGUCGGCAGAGUAACUGUUGUCGGCGUGACGGUAUCCAACCAGAAAGCCACGGCUAACUACGUGCCAGCAGCCGCGGUAAUACGUAGGUGGCAAGCGUUAUCCGGAUUUAUUGGGCGUAAAGCGAGCGCAGGCGGUUUUUUAAGUCUGAUGUGAAAGCCCUCGGCUUAACCGAGGAAGCGCAUCGGAAACUGGGAAACUUGAGUGCAGAAGAGGACAGUGGAACUCCAUGUGUAGCGGUGAAAUGCGUAGAUAUAUGGAAGAACACCAGUGGCGAAGGCGGCUGUCUGGUCUGUAACUGACGCUGAGGCUCGAAAGCAUGGGUAGCGAACAGGAUUAGAUACCCUGGUAGUCCAUGCCGUAAACGAUGAAUGCUAGGUGUUUGGAAGGGUUUCCCGCCCUUCAGUGCCGCAGCUAACGCAUUAAGCAUUCCGCCUGGGGAGUACGACCGCAAGGUUGAAACUCAAAGGAAUUGACGGGGGCCCGCACAAACGGGUGGAGCAUGUGGUUUUAAUUCCAAACAACCCCA